rnacentral:rRNA from 1 species
CUAUACAUGCAGUCGAGCGAAUGACGAAGAAGCUUGCUUCUUCUGAUUUAGCGGCGGACGGGUGAGUAACACGUGGGCAACCUGCCCUGUAGAUUGGGAUAACUCCGGGAAACCGGGGCUAAUACCGAAUAAUCCAUUUCCUCACAUGGGGAGAUGUUAAAAGACGGCAUCUCGCUGUCACUACAGGAUGGGCCCGCGGCGCAUUAGCUAGUUGGUGAGGUAACGGCUCACCAAGGCGACGAUGCGUAGCCGACCUGAGAGGAUGAUCGGCCACACUGGGACUGAGACACGGCCCAGACUCCUACGGGAGGCAGCAGUAGGGAAUCUUCCACAAUGGACGAAAGUCUGAUGGAGCAAUGCCGCGUGAGUGAAGAAGGUUUUCGGAUCGUAAAACUCUGUUGUGAGGGAAGAACAAGUACGAGAGUAACUGCUCGUACCUUGACGGUACCUCAUUAGAAAGCCACGGCUAACUACGUGCCAGCAGCCGCGGUAAUACGUAGGUGGCAAGCGUUGUCCGGAAUUAUUGGGCGUAAAGCGCGCGCAGGCGGUCCUUUAAGUCUGAUGUGAAAUCCCACGGCUCAACCGUGGAAGGUCAUUGGAAACUGGGGGACUUGAGUACAGAAGAGGAAAGCGGAAUUCCAAGUGUAGCGGUGAAAUGCGUAGAGAUUUGGAGGAACACCAGUGGCGAAGGCGGCUUUCUGGUCUGUAACUGACGCUGAGGCGCGAAAGCGUGGGGAG